rnacentral:rRNA from 1 species
GGAGGCAUCUCUCGUUCCAGACGCAUUUGUCUCUCGUCCGAAGGACGCUGCAGCCGGUCUGGCAGUGCAAGCGCGACGGCCUGAAGGGCGGGAACAGGCAGGUGGCCGGUGGCGCGUCUCGUGYGUGCUAUCGGUUGUUAGCCAUCCCGUCGGUGGCACGUCGCCAGACCGUGGUGUCGCGAGUCCCCUUYYGGGGACUCCUCGUCUCCACCCCGCAGUUGCGGGACUGAUCGUGGCARGUGCAGUUCGCACUGACCGUCGCACUCCGCAGGAGUGGACGGACGGGCGGAACGUCCCGUUGGCCGCGACGGACCCGUCGGGGACCGGAGGCUKGCAGCGAGUAGRUCGGUCACCCACCCGACCCGUCUUGAAACACGGACCAAGGAGUCUAACAUGUGCGCGAGUCAUUGGGUCUUGAACAGGCCCAGGGGCGCAAUGAAAGCGAAGGCCUGCCUAGCGCAGGCUCAGUCGGGAUCCCGCCUCUCACGGGGUGGGCGCACCGACGACACGUCCUAUCCGGCUCGCCGGUUGGGCGUAGUCUGAGCGUACA